rnacentral:lncRNA from 1 species
UCAUACCUCCGGGUGCCCAUCAGAACCUCUUCUGACAACUUCCUAAACACAGAGGGCACGCAGGUUAGAACGUAGAUCAGCGGGAGACAGGGGGUCCAUUUCUCAAAAGCAAUUAAAUCCUCAACCCUAUCCUGAGAGCUUUGUCAUCUGUUUUGUUAGGAGAUGUAUACCUGAAUUUUGUCUGGCAAAUUGUACAUAUACAACAUCACUAAUAUAAAAUGUACACAAUUACCCUCCAAUACACACACACACACACACACACACACACACACACACACACCAGGCAAAUGGUAAAAUGCUCGCUUCCAUGUACCAGGCCCCGAGGGGGAGUGUGGGGGAGGGUUACACAAUAAGUCUGUUUAUUCAGACUCUCCUACCUUUCUGUGAGUUUCUUAUGUCUCUUUCAGAGAUAGGAUUUCAUUAUUUUGCAAAUGACUCAGAUGAUUCUUUUCAACAAUGGAUCUUUAUUGGCAUGUAUUGAUUAUUCAGAAUAAUGGGUUUCAUAGUGAUAUUUUACAUAUGCAUAUCGUUGUGUGGCUUUGUUUAGUUGAUAUUUACUGGUUUUGAGACAGGAUUUCAUGUUCUCCAGACUGACUUCAGACUUGCUUUGUAACCAACGAUGAUCUUAAACUUCUGACUCACCUGUCUCUCCCUCCCAAGUGCUGAGAUCACAAAUAUGGAUCACUAGAGCUAUAUAUUGUAUUUGGGAUUAAAUCCAUGACUUCAUACAUUCAGGACAAGCAUCCUACCAAGUGAUCUACAUCCCUAGCCUUCAGAUGAUUCUUAUUCUUAUUUAUUUAUUUUUUAUUUAUUUAUUUGCAGAGUGCCCUGGCUGACCUGGCACUAUGUAUGCCAGGCAAGCCUUGAACUUACAGAGAUCUGCCCUCCUCUGCAUCUAAAUUCUAGGAUUAGAGACAUGUGCUACCAUGCCCAGCCAAAUGAUUAGAGCCCUUCACUUGCUUUUCAGAAGUUGCAUGAAAUGCCUCAGCCAGAUUGUAUCCCUGACACCUUAUAUUUAGCCAUUGUCUACAAGGGAGCUUGCAGUCAUUAGAAGGAGGAGCCACUUUUAGCCUAAGCCCUGUGAUUCUGGCAUGCAUUGCAUGCCCCUCCCUAGCAUAGAAAGCAAGAAAAUUCUGGAAAGAACAGAGUUUUAUCACUGAGGUACAACAACCCGAAUC